rnacentral:tRNA from 1 species
GUUUAUUUAGCUUAAAUUAGAGUUUUACAUUGAAGAUGUAAAGGUAAAUUAUUAUUAUUAAACA